AUUUAGUGAAGCUUUUGUCGUCACGUAAAAAAAAAAAAAAAAACGUUGCGCUGCUGUGGAAGCAGUACGGCGGCUCCACUUGGACAAACUUCAUGUGCGUCCCAGUAUUGACUUCGAAUUCGGUGGUUUUCGGUGGUAAUCAUUCUCAAAUUUUUUUGGGGGGUCCGUGUCUCGAGUGUUUCGAUUACGUGUCGUGAUUCAUCACAACAGAAAUGACAAACACACGAAUACCUGUACUUCUACGUAAUUUUAAGACAAACAUUCCCUAAAUGGCGACACACACACACGUAGUUUGUCCAAGUGGCGUUGUCGUACAACAGUACGUUGUUUUUUUUUUGGGGGGGGGGGGGUUCCCUUUAACAUCAGCACACCCGCUUCCUUGUGUAGUUAAUAAUUCUUAAAUUAUUAGUGAACGUACAGAAGGCUCGAUACGGUAAGCCCAUCCCAAGUUGACUCGACUAAAACAUAAUUUGUUCAACAUUCGUGUCCGGAUAAACUCGUCUCGGUGCUCGUGGAAGUUUUUGAGGGUUAGCUUAGCUUAGCAUAGCCUUCUAGCUGCUAACAAAGAGCGAGCGACACGUCGCUGGACGGAGAUCAAGUGGUGUGAUUAUCUUGUGAAAACGUGUGCAAAAAAAAAAGAAAGUGCCAAAGAAGAAGAGUACGAGGAGGAAGUUUGUGGAAGAAAAGAGUUUUCAAGAAGCAUCGCAGAGCAGACGUCUGCGACGCACAUCUUCGUCUUGAGUAUCGGGAUUGGCGCUCCGGGAUGGAGCGGCUGGAGCCAGAGCGUCCACGCGUUAAAGAGGAAGAGCAGGAGGAGGACAUCAGCGCGUUUCCAUUGACUGUCAAUGUGAAGAGUGAAGCAGAGCGCUGUGGAGGAUCACAAGCAGACGGCCUCUUACCGCCGCUAUCAGAUAGCGAUGACACAACAGCCCAUUCCCGGGACACUGAUGAUGGCGAACACUCAAAAGGUGGCAUGUCAUGUCACACUGACAAAAAACAUGUGAAAUGUUCUCAGUGUGACAAAACCUUUGACAGAAAGUCAUUGUUGAUAAGACACACAAGAACACACACAGGCGAAAAACCUUUUGCCUGCUUAGUUUGUGGCAAAAGAUUCUCUUUAAAGACAAAUUUAACAAUGCACACAAGAACGCACACUGGAGAAAAACCUUUUGCCUGCUUCGUUUGUGGGAAAAGAUUCGCUAAAAACACCAAUUUAACAAUACACACGAGAACACACACUGGAGAAAAACCUUUUGCCUGCUCAUUUUGUGGGAAAAGAUUCACUCAGAAGGGAGAUUUAACAAUGCAUACAAGAAUACACACAGGAGAAAAACCUUUUGCAUGCUCAGUUUGUGGUAAAACAUUUACUGAAAAGAAAAAUUUAACAACACACACGAGAACACACACUGGUGAGAAACCAUUCAAUUGCACUGUGUGUGAUAAAAGAUUUUAUGUUAAGCGUGAGGUUAAGAGACACAAGUGCGCUGGGGAGAAGAGCAACAGUUAAUGAAGCUGCAGACAAAACUGAAGGAACUAAAAACUGAAACUGUGCACACGCAGCACUUCUGCGUUUGACGUACAGCGGCGUGCGAACUUCCGUUCGCCAGGCAAACGCAGAGUGAUAACGACAACAACAUAAAACUCUUCAAAGUAGACUCGCCGCCUGCUGGAAUUAUGAUUAGUUCCAGGUGAAUGACAUACCGGUAUUAGCUUUGUGAUUGCUCCAAUGACCCAAGUAUCAACGAAGUAAAGGAGCAAGAUCAGAUUUUCAUUUGCAGUUUCACAGUACAGUGCGUGUGGUUCUGGGAUUUCUGCUCACCGUUCUUGUGAUGGCUUUGAGCCCACCGGGUGAGAUCUUGCGUGGAGCCCCAAAUCGAGGGAGAUUAUCAGCGGUCUUGUAUGUCUUCCAUUUUCUAAUAAUUGCUCCCGCAGUGGAUUUCUUCACAGCAAGCUGCUUACCUAUUGCAGAUUCAGUCUUACCAGCCUGGUGCAGGUCUACAAUUUUGUUUCUGGUGCCCUUUGACAGCCUGUUGGUCUUGGCCAUAGUGGAGUUUGGAGUGUGACUGUUUGAGGUGGUGGACAGGUGUCUUUUAUACUGAUGACGAGUUCCAACAGGUGCCAAUAAUACCGGUAACGAGUGGAGGACAGAGGAGCAUCUUAAAGAAGAAGUUCCAGGUCUGUGAGAGUCACAAAUCUUGCUCGUUUGGAGGUGACCAAAUACGUCUUGUCCACCAUCAUUUGCUAAUAAAUCCUUUGAAAAUCAGACAAUGUGAUUUUCUGGAUGUUUUUUCUCAUGGGUGAGGUGAUGAAAAUGACAGGCCUCAACGUUGUCACACAUUGAAAGAAAGGUUGUUUUUCCGUCAGAUGGCGUCCCAGUAGCUUGAAACAGACGGACGCCGGGACGCCGCCUCACCUUCACGUGGCGCACACUUGACUUGAUUCCUACACACUAAUCGCGGGAUCAGGAUCAGUUUUGCUUUUUUUCCCCUCCCGCACCGUGUGAACAUCAUCGGCUCCGUGCGCGCAACACAUUGUGUGUACGAUAUUGUAUCUUUGUUUUUUUUGGUUUUUUUUUGCUCUUAAUCAGGCCUCAGAAUGCCUCCAAAGAAAGGGUCAAGCCAUCGUGGUCACUUGUCUUACUGCUGCAAUAAAGAAGAUAAGAAAAGAUAAA